rnacentral:tRNA from 1 species
UCCCUGCUGGCUCAGAUGGUAAAGAAUCUGCCUGCAAUGCAGGAGACACAGGUUCAAUCCCUGGGUCAGGAG